rnacentral:rRNA from 1 species
GACGAACCGUGCAAACGUUGUUCGGAAUCACUGGGCUUAAAGGGCGCGUAGGCGGCGGGCCAAGUCUGAAGUGAAAUCGUUCGGCUCAACCGGACAACUGCUUUGGAUACUGGUCCGCUGGAGGGAGGUAGGGGCAGAGGGAACUUCCGGUGGAGCGGUGAAAUGCGUAGAUAUCGGAAGGAACGCCGGUGGCGAAAGCGCUCUGCUGGACCUUUACUGACGCUGAGGCGCGAAAGCCAGGGGAG